AAAUAACAUCGGCAUAAAAAUAUAAGGUAGAGCUGAAACAUUCGGUGACUUAGAUAUGGUCAACGAUAUUUAUUUCAGAGAGUCUCGUUUUUGCCCUGGUACAAAGGGAGUGAUUGCAUAGACAUCCCAGUGAUGGCUGGUACUUGUUGAAGGAGUUGUGUCAGGUAUGUCCAGUGCCUGGAGUAGGGCUGGACCAUCUGUGGCAUUCGUUGCCCUUAAGGUUUUUCCCUUUUGGUCUACG